rnacentral:rRNA from 1 species
CGGGGUGAGUAACGCGUGGGUAACCUGCCUUGUACUGGGGGACAACAGUUGGGAACGACUGCUAAUACCGCAUAAGCGCACAGCUUCGCAUGAAGCAGUGUGAAAAACUCCGGUGGUACAAGAUGGACCCGCGUCUGAUUAGCUGGUUGGUGAGGUAACGGCCCACCAAGGCGACGAUCAGUAGCCGGCCUGAGAGGGUGAACGGCCACAUUGGGACUGAGACACGGCCCAA